ensembl:lncRNA
CAAUGAAUUGUGCACAAUAAGACCAGGAAUGUUUACUAAGUAGAUUAAUUUAGACUUUUUGACAAUAAGAAUCAGCAUCUGCAAAGUAUUUAACUUAAUUUUUUUAUGCAUUUCUGAGUUAAACAAUAUUUGGUGAGAAAAAUAAUUAUAUGAUAGGACUAUUCAUCCUAUUAGGAUCUGAUUGGAUCAUGCAAAAAUGUAAUUUUAUUGGCUAAUAUUAAUUUUCUUCACCUGUUCUGCCUUGAAACAAAAGUGUUUUCAAUAAAGGAAUAUUUAAAAAAAUUUGAUUUACACUACCGUUUAAAAGUUUGGGGGUCGGUUAAGUGUUUUCUAAUCUUUUACUUUUAAUCAGAAAGGAUGCACUAAAUUGAUCAAAAGCGACAGUAAAGUGACUUUUAUAUUGUUAUCUCCUUCAAAAAAAUCCUCAUUUAUUUUGAACUUUUUACUUAAAGUCCUAAUAUCCUGAAAAAAAAAAAAUCUUUCCACAAAAUAUUAGACAGCACAACAUUUUUCCACAUUGAUUAAAAAAAGAUAAAAUCUUGAGCAGCAAAUCAUCGUAUUGGAAUGAUUACUUUAGGAUCAUGCUACACUUUAAAAUAUAUUCAGAUAGAAAAGUCAUUUUAAAUUGCAAUAAUAUUUUAGUCUUUCUGUAUUUUUGAUCAAAUAAAUGCAGCCUUUGGUGAGCAUUAAAUACCUUUGUCAUGUAAUGUAAAAAAAAAAAAAAAAAAAUGACUGACUGACUGACCAGAAAUUUUGAACGAUAGUGUGAUUGCACCAAUGAAUCAUUUACAAAUAACCCCGAACCAUUUAUUAUGAAACUAAAUAAGCCUUAUGAUUUCACAUUGACUUUAAGCAGCGAAUAAGCAUGGCCCCCAAUAGAGAGAGUCCCCAAAGCGUUAUGUACAUUUACAUGGACACACCCUUUAUUUCCUAUCUAGGUCAACAAUCCAUCGCAAGUGUCAAGUUACAGUCAAAAUAAAGUAUCGAUAGAAAUGAUACAUCCAUUAGAGACAGACAUUUAAAGCAGAGUGAAAGAGAUGCCCCGGAGAGGAAGGGACAGAUGACAUCAACACAUUGUUUGCUAAUCUUUAAAUCAGCCAUGAUUAGAGUUGACUGCAUCAGUGCAUUGCCAUUCUCAAACAGAACUCAACAGCACACAAUCCAUAUGGUCAAACCGCGUAAGGUCAAAUCUACAGGAUACAUCAGUCAUCUGCUGCGUCUUAAUUCCUCCGCAAAACUAGUCCUUUUACAGAGCGAUUGAGCUCUUCUGUAUAUUUAAGGGUCUCUGCACAUCCUUGGCCUUUCAUCGACGACAUGUCCUUGCUCUGAAGACGCAGUUAGGGUCCUUCAAGAUCGUUCUUACACAAUAGCCUCGCCGCUCUUCGCGAGGAACUUAUGUAAUCUUUGUCUGAAAGCUGUGAGACGAUGGUGUCUGCUGGGACUCGAUGACCUGCAUGUAACUGUAGAGACGCUUGACUGACUGCAACCAUGACGCACAGAUUCCAUUUCCUGUUUGAGGGUGAUGGCGAGUGGGGCAGCUGAUAUCUUUAGCUCUGAAAUGAGAGGAUGGACACAAAUGCGUGGGGGCUGAUGGAUGAUUCCUGUUUGGUGUUGCUCCUGUGAAUGUCAGCAAACCUGCGCACACACAAAGAGAAAACCAUCGGCGGGGACAUUAGGGAAAUGCAUUUUGUGGAUGAUCAAAGGCAUGAAAAAAUUACAUGCAUUACCUUUUCCUGCCUCAUCUUUUCAUGUUUGUUGAUCUUGUGGCUCUUUUGUUUGUGUUUACUUAGUGAAUGAUGAUUUUUACAUGACUGCAUUCUGAAGAGCGGCUGCUUUGAAAGGCACAUUCUUUUGAAAAAAUGUAAAUGGCAGAGGGUGAAUGCCUGUGUUCUUUAGCACGAAAACCUUAGUAAAAUGAUUAUUUUGUUACACACGGGCCUUUCAACGCCUCUGCGUUCAUCUUGCGGCACCAUUAUUUUUUUUAAAGGGAAAAUUAUGCCACCC